rnacentral:rRNA from 1 species
GAUGAACGCUGGCGGCGUGCUUAACACAUGCAAGUCGAACGAUGAAGCCCAGCUUGCUGGGUGGAUUAGUGGCGAACGGGUGAGUAACACGUGAGUAACCUGCCCUUGACUCUGGGAUAAGCCUGGGAAACUGGGUCUAAUACUUGAUAUGACUUCUCAUCGCAUGGUGGGGGGUGGAAAGAUUUAUUGGUCUUGGAUGGACUCGCGGCCUAUCAGCUUGUUGGUGAGGUAAUGGCUCACCAAGGCGACGACGGGUAGCCGGCCUGAGAGGGUGACCGGCCACACUGGGCCUGAGACACGGCCCAGACUCCUACGGGAGGCAGCAGUGGGGAAUAUUGCACAAUGGGCGCAAGCCUGAUGCAGCGACGCCGCGUGAGGGAUGACGGCCUUCGGGUUGUAAACCUCUUUCAGUAGGGAAGAAGCGAGAGUGACGGUACCUGCAGAAGAAGCGCCGGCUAACUACGUG